rnacentral:rRNA from 1 species
GACGAACGCUGGCGGCGUGCUUAACACAUGCAAGUCGAACGGAAAGGCCCUGCUUUUGUGGGUGCUCGAGUGGCGAACGGGUGAGUAACACGUGAGUAACCUGCCCUUGACUUUGGGAUAACUUCAGGAAACUGGGGCUAAUACCGGAUAGGAGCUCCUGCUGCAUGGUGGGGGUUGGAAAGUUUCGGCGGUUGGGGAUGGACUCGCGGCUUAUCAGCUUGUUGGUGGGGUAGUGGCUUACCAAGGCUUUGACAGGUAGCCGGCCUGAGAGGGUGACCGGCCACAUUGGGACUGAGAUACGGCCCAGACUCCUACGGGAGGCAGCAGUGGGGAAUAUUGCACAAUGGGCGGAAGCCUGAUGCAGCAACGCCGCGUGCGGGAUGACGGCCUUCGGGUUGUAAACCGCUUUCGCCUGUGACGAAGCGUGAGUGACGGUAAUGGGUAAAGAAGCACCGGCUAACUACGUG